rnacentral:rRNA from 1 species
UACAGAGGAGCCAAGCGUUGUCCGGAUUGACUGGGCGUAAAGCGCACGCAGGCGGCACCGCGCGUGGGGUGUGAAAUCUGGCCGCUUAACGGCCAGGCGCCAUCCCAUACGGCGGAGCUGGAGUGAUGCAGAGGUCGAUGGAAUUGCCGGUGUAGUGGUGAAAUGCGUAGAGAUCGGCAGGAACACCCAGGGGGAAACCAGUCGACUGGGCAUCUACUGACGCUGAGGUGCGAGAGCGUGGGGAGCGAACAGG